UGUAUACAGGUUGAGGCGGGAUCCGUUUCCUAUUGUUAUGACCCGACUUUAUUUGUACGUGCGUUUCUUUUCCAAAACCCUAGAGAGCCUCCAUCUCCAUCUCCAAUCUCCAUCUCCAUUCCAAUGAUCAUCUCCUCACAUGUCUUUCCUAAUGAAUUCCAUCUGAGCAUCGUGAAUCCUUCAUUCGUUUCAUUCAACACGGCUAUUCUGACCCAAAUCAAAGGACGCUUCUUUCUAAACCCUAGCCUCCUUCAUCUCGCUCUUCUCGAUCAAUCAUAUUCUCAUCAAAUGGUUCAAUAAUCAGGUAUGAUUCCUUUCAAUCACAGGUUCAAUAUUUGUUUGAAGGUUUAAAUCGAACAAUUGAUAUGAUGCUGUUAUAUAGAAGAGAUAUAUAUUUCUUGUGAAAAGGGCACAUUGAAGUUCAUCGCAUGAGUACCAAUUCAUCUACAGUAGCGUCAUUAAAGUUUCAGUUUUGUGGGUAAUUUGGUUUCUUUUUUUUUUUUGGGGUUUGAAAAUUAGGGUUUUUGAGGGUAAGGAUUUUUUGUUGUCUGCAAAUGUGAUUGAGGGUAAUUUGGUGGUUUUUGAGGGUUUGGUUCAGUUUUUUUCAGUUUUCUGGUUAAAUCGAUGUUGAAUUUUGCUAAAGUUUAAGUGUUUGGGGUAAUUUGGUGGUUUUUGUGGGUUUUAAAAAUUAGGGAUUUUGAAUUAAUUUUGUUUUUUCAGUUUUUUUUUGGUUUGCUUAAAUUGGAGUUUAAUUAUGUGAAUUGGGUUUUGGGUGGAGUUUGGUUUUGCUACAGUUGAAGUGUUUGGGGGUAAUUUGGUUUGAUUUUGGUGGGUUUUGAAAUUAGGGUUUUUUUAGGGUUUGGAUUGUGUGUUGUCUGCAAGCGUGAGGUGAACUGUUUUCAGUUUUAAAGGCUGUGAUGAUCAAUUUCAAUGCAUCUGAGUGAAAUUGGGCAAAUAUGAGAUUGUCCGCAUCUUGGCAGGGCAACCCGGAUGGUCAUGUGGUUUCACAUGACAACCGAAAGUAUGCAGCCAUGGCGGAUUUAUCCACUCUGUUUGAUUGUUUACAAAUCUAAGCCUCAUAAUCGUUUUGUAACAUCGACGACAGUAUUGGUAUACAUCUCUUAUGUUUUUAGUUUUGGUACUUUCAAUGAUGCCAGCACUGAACGCACAAAAGCGGUAGCCUUUGUUUUACAAAUUAAUGACACCCUUAUUGUAAGGUCGGGUUAUAACCGACAAUGUCGUCCACUCUAUUUUAUAUUAUGACUUUUUUUUUACAUUUUCUUGACAGACGAGAUUAGGAUUGAUGUAAUGGUAUUUGGAUUGAAAUAUAAGUUAAUAGUUAGUGAUAGUGUGUUUAAAAAUUACUUUCCAUAUUCAUUAAGUUGGUUUAACAUGAAGUUUAUGUUUCCUUGAAAUUUUGGGAUUGAUGUAGUGGUAUUUGGAUAUAUGAUGACAGAACUUGCAGGCGUUUUGACAGAACGAUAUACAUGGAAGGAUGUGGGUACAUGAUUCUUUUCAUAUUAUCAUAUAUAAAUUUGAUUCUACUUGUACUGAAUAUAUUCAAGUAGUAAUUAGUUGGUACAUACUAUUAUGACAAUGAGACUGCAAUAUACUUUAUGUAUAUUCAGUUAUGCGUCUCAUAUUUUUAUAAUUUUGUUGUCCACACAGAAUCACUCAAUCAUGGCACAUAAGUACGUAACCAAACUGCAAAACUAAGCCCUUUUGGUCAUCUUGGUGUUUUAAUUGCAAAAGCAAUGGGUCACCAUGUGAUAGUCAUCAGUUCUAAUAAGAAGAGAGAAGAGACUGUAUAAGAGCUGUUAGUUUAGGGUUUUUUAAUCUCCUCUGCCUCAAUUUAAGGUUUUUUUUUACUUCAGUUGUUGACGAAGGUGUGUGGUCUUCAAUAUCGCAAUUGCAGUUUGUGGAUCUUUUAUCACCAUUAUUUCAUACCUUUAGAUUAUCGGGUUUUUUAUCAGCAGCGUUUGGUGUGGUUGUGCAGGUCAGAGUUGCAUAGUUGUUGUUUUGUUCAAGGAUUUACGCAGAGUAGCAGCGUCUGUUACCUAUAGGCCAUUUUUGGGGUUCAAUAUUUGAUAGGCCAUUAUUGGUGUAUAGGUUGAUGUACCGACUCUACCUGGCAAGACAAGCAAAAGUGGCCUUUUAUGUCGAAAUGGAUGCCGUGAUGCUGCUAUCUAUGAAGUUGGAUGCUUCCUUUUGUGUAGCGAAUUGUUUGUGACUAGAAUUGGAAAAUGGUAUUUAGACGAUUUAAACUAUGUUUGCUUUUAAUAGGAUACUCAUUUAACGCCGCGUAUCGGUGCCCGUUUGUAUGUCUAAAUAAAUAGAUGUCACGUCACUAUUGUCAUGAAUUCUAUCUUUUAGUAUAUAAAUGUUUUUGUAUAUAAAUGUUUUUGAA